UACGAAGGGGGCUAGCGUUGCUCGGAAUUACUGGGCGUAAAGGGCGCGUAGGCGGGUCGUUAAGUUGGGGGGUGAAAGCCCAGGGCUCAACCCUGGAAUUGCCUUCAAUACUGGCGACCUUGAGUAUGGCAGAGGUGUGUGGAACUCCGAGUGUAGAGGUGAAAUUCGUAGAUAUUCGGAAGAACACCAGUGGCGAAGGCGACACACUGGGCCAUUACUGACGCUGAGGCGCGAAAGCGUGGGGAGCAAACAGGG
rnacentral:rRNA from 1 species